rnacentral:lncRNA from 1 species
UGGACUGUAGCCUUCAAAAUCCCAUUCCUGCUCUUUUCCCGCGAUUCAUCAAACACAUUUAGUGUGUCUGACUUGUGGUCAGACUCGCUCAAGUGGAACAAAUUUAAAUGUGUGCCUUUGUGUCAAAGAUUACAUGUAAUCCGUUACUCCCCAACCCCGGAUUCCUGACAACGCCUAGUAUAUUGAGAUUGCGUCACCUGUGGAUCUGUUGGGGCGGGAUGCGAACUGGAGUGGGUGUAGGGUUUCGGGAAUGAUGGUGUUGAUGUGAGCCAUGACCAGCCUUUCAACGCACUUCAUGGCUACCGACGCAGACUUUGCAGUGCCUCCAUGUGCGACUGCCUUGAGCCGCAGAUUGAGGGACUUCGGAGGGGAAACGCUGAGCAGUGAGGCGUAGGGAAUUGUCUACAGUAGGACGACCCCCAGUGGAUGGACGCCGAGGGGUGAGGUGCUCCUCCGGCAGCUCUCUCAUAAGGUUCUCUCUGUACGUUUGGUGGGUCAUCACCUCACCUACGGUUGAGAGGGAGUGGAGAGGGUGAUGAGGGAGUUGGUAGGCCCCUAUGCUGUUGGAGAACAGAUGCUGGAAGAGUGUGGGACUGCUGCACCAAUCCUCAAAGACCCGGACACUCCAAGCCCCUCAUAAUGCUGGAUGUCAGUGGUGGACCCUGUGUAGAGUAUAAUGUCCUGGACAAAUCCUGUCUUCGUGUCACACAUAACAAAGCACUUGACCCCUAACCUGUGCCUUUUGGAGGGAAUAUAUUGAUGGAAAGCCAUCCUACCCUUCCAUAACAUCAGGGACUGACGAACUAACACAGCAGGUUAAGUGAAUUAAAGUAGCAGGUUAGGAGAAUAAGUUUAAGGUUAGGAAAAGGGUUAGGCUUAGCUAUACUACUACAAUUGGCAACAACAGUCCUGAUGCGACCACUAGAUAAAGCAGAUUUUUGUGUGUAAUAUUUUAUUAUAUUUUUCAAAAUAUUAACAAACACAGACAAAAGACAACAGACAGAGACACACACAAACAUCAACGACAUCACCCCUGCCCAGACCCACAUGCUUCCACCGCCUUUUUCUCCAGCGCCUGCAAGACUAUUCCACAUGACCUCAAACUGCGCCACUCUGCACUUCUCUGUCGCCCACACACUUUCAAUAUUUGAUUCUUCCUCCGGCCCCUUGAUUUUCAGUUUUUAAGCAAAAGGUUUUUUUGGUUUUUUUUAAUAAUUGACGAGAAUAGUACGGUCCAACCGAUUGGAAAUCUCACCAUACCCGCGGUGUCUUGAAAUAUACAGAUAGACGGAUUAAAAGUAUAUUUAUAUUGUAAAACUUCUGACAGCCAACUUUCUAACUUUUGGACUAUAGCACUCUCAGGAGGCAUGAAUAAUUGAGUCACCACUGUUAGUUUUACACUUAAGACAUAUGUCUCUGCAAUUGUGCUGCAGAAUUUGUAAAUUUGGACUGUAUAAUAAAUAUAUACAUUAGUUUAUAUUGGAUAAAGUGUACGUUUUCGUUAACUGUAAUUUUGUUAGUUAUGUUCCAAUAGUCCCUCCAUCUUGUGCCAAUAUCAGUUAUUGUUAGGUCUUGGUUCCAAUAGUUUAUAUUUUUUGGAUAGGCUUUCUUCAAGGUUUUGUAUACCUUACCAAUCAUGUGAGCAUAAUUUUCUGACACAAAUAAAAUUCCCUCAACAUUGCUCUGAUGUCCAAAAGAUUUCAGAUUUAAAUUUCGUGAUAUAAAACUUUUAAAUUGCAUGUUUUUGAAAAUGUACAACAUUGCUUUUAAUUCUGUCAAGGAAAUAAUUGUAUUUCCUAUUACCAAGUCAUUUACGGUUUCGAUGCCUUUAGUUUUCCUUUUGGGACAAUUUAGCAGUGAAUUCUGAAAGCUAUCCAGUAAAUAGGGGGGAUAUUUAGAGAGUGAUAUUGGUUCUAGUAGAAUCCGUUCUUCCAUAUUGGUAUAGUGUUAACUAUGACUUUGUUAAUGUUCUUAGCUCCAUUCUUUGAAAAUAGACACGCGAAGAGAUUCUGGGGAUGAGCAUGCGCAUCUUCAAUAUGUAUCCAUGGUUCCUCUUUAGUGC